rnacentral:rRNA from 1 species
AUUGAACGCUGGCGGCAUGCCUUACACAUGCAAGUCGAACGGUAACAGGUCUUCGGAUGCUGACGAGUGGCGAACGGGUGAGUAAUACAUCGGAACGUGCCCGAUCGUGGGGGAUAACGAAGCGAAAGCUUUGCUAAUACCGCAUAAGAUCUACGGAUGAAAGCAGGGGACCGCAAGGCCUUGCGCGAACGGAGGGGCCGAUGGCAGAUUAGGUAGUUGGUGGGAUAAAAGCUUACCAAGCCGACGAUCUGUAGCUGGUCUGAGAGGACGACCAGCCACACUGGGACUGAGACACGGCCCAGACUCCUACGGGAGGCAGCAGUGGGGAAUUUUGGACAAUGGGCGAAAGCUUGAUCCAGCCAUGUCGCGUGCAGGAUGAAGGCCUUCGGGUUGUAAACUGCUUUUGUACGGAACGAAAAGACUCUGGUUAAUACCUGGGGUCCAUGACGGUACCGUAAGAAUAAGCACCGGCUAACUACGUGCCAGCCGCCGCGG